GACGUAGGUGGCGACCGUUAUCCGGAAUUAUUGGGCGUAAAGGAUGCGUAGAUGGUGUAGUAAGUUAUCGGUGGCAAACCGAGGCUCAACCUCGUGGAAGUCGGUAAUACUGCUAUGCUAGAGGAUAGGAGAGGUUAACGGAACUCCCUGUGGAGCGGUGAAAUGCGUAGAUAUAGGGAAGAACACCAAUCAGGCGAAGGCAGUUAACUAUUCUAUUCCUGACAUUGAGGCAUGAAAGCGUGGGGAGCAAAACGG
rnacentral:rRNA from 1 species